rnacentral:rRNA from 1 species
GACGAACGCUGGCGGCGUGCCUAACACAUGCAAGUCGAACGGGUCUGCCCUGUUUUUUGCGGGGUGGGUCAGUGGCGAACGGGUGAGUAACACGUGAGUAACCUGCCCCUCACUUCUGGAUAACCGCUUGAAAGGGUGGCUAAUACGGGGUGUUCUGGCUGUGCCGCAUGGUGUGGCUGGGAAAGAUUCACUUUUGUGGUGUUUUGGUGGGGGAUGGGCUCGCGGCCUAUCAGCUUGUUGGUGGGGUGAUGGCCUGCCAAGGCUUUGACGGGUAGCCGGCCUGAGAGGGUGGGCGGUCACACUGGGACUGAGAUACGGCCCAGACUCCUGCGGGAGGCAGCAGUGGGGGGUAUUGCACAAUGGGCGGAAGCCUGAUGCAGCGACGUCGCGUGAGGGAUGGAGGCCUUCGGGUUGUGAACCUCUUUCGCCGGUGAAGAAGGUCCUGCUCUUUGUGGUGGGGUUGACGGUAGCCGGGUUAUGAAGCGCCGGCUAACUACGUG